GGUCCCCCGCGCGCGCCCCAGGGCUCCAGGCCGGGCGGGCUCCCAACGUCCGAUCCCGAUCCCCGCCCGGGACACGCAGGUCCUGGGACUCGGGGGCUGAAGGGCCCUUGGUUUCUGGACUCCGCUCCCGCCCCGGGCAAGGGCCGCUUUCUCAGGGGCCAACAGUUUGAGGGCCAGGACAGGGUCCCCGCGGGCAGAGUCAAGAAUGGAUCCUGAUGACCCUGAGAAGUGACAGGGACUGGCAGGGCUUGUUCACGGUUUUAUGUUUCCCAAAAGGGCAAAGGAACUCUCCGGGUAGAGACUCCAGCAGAAGAGUCGGGGCGAGAAACUUGGACUUGAACAGGAUUUGAGAAGGAGGGAGAGCCCACUCCAAGGUCCCUCCCUCACCUGCUGGUAAGAAAAAUGAGAGUCCAAGAGAAUAAGCAAUCUUUUAAGGUUGCCCACACCUGAGUUGCCGAGCCAGAUUCCAACCCAGCUCUGUCUUAACUCUGAAACUAUCGCUCAUAACCAUGACACUGGCACUGCUUGUUACCAAAAAAAAAGUGCAGAAUUGUGCAGAGUGACCCUUCACAUGACCGGAUUGGAGACCUGGUGACUUCGAACCACCAGGUUCCCCCACCUGCCUGAGAAGGCCUACACGUGACUCUGCCUUUAGCCCUCAGACGCUCAUCUGGCCCGGUGUUCCAGUCAAAGUCCUUAAAACUCAAAGAAGGAAGUAAUUACUCCUGGGUGCGGUAACCUUGAAGGCUUCCAGAAGAAUUUGAUAUUUGAUUCAAGAUGUGAAGGAUAAGGAAAUAUUGCCAGGCAGGGGCAAGGUAGGAAGUAUGUUCCGGUAGAGAAAAUAGCCUGAGUAAAACCCCAGAUGUAAAAAUCCAGGCAUGUGUGAGGCCCCAGUGAGAGGCACAGCAGCUGAAGGGUUGAGAGCAGGAGUGCUUUGUGCCUAGCCUCGGGCCUGCCUGGCCCGCACGAAAUAAUGGGUACGUUUACCUGACCGGCCUUGAAAGGCCCGCUCUCCAAUCGACACCCUGAUUGUAAAUGCCACCUUCAUCAAUUAAAAACUUUGACCCCUCA